UUGUUUAAGCUUACCGAAACCGCAUCCAAAAAGCCAAAAAAAACAAAACCAUUCGGCACUUGAGUUUCUUGCACCCUCCAUUUCAUGUUUUGGCUGGGUGCCCUUCUCUUAACGUCCAUCAUGAAGAUGGACGUUCGAUUUGAUGGUCUGGGGAUGCCUGCGUCUGCGUCCCCUGAGUCAUGGCUCGCAGGAUACCUGUCCUUCCAAAAUGGAUUGGGAAGGAAAUGGACGAUUUGGACUCUCUCUCUCUCUCUCUCUCAUCAAAUUUGCAACUCUCUCUCUCUCUCUCUCUCCUACCUCUCGUCUCUACGUACGAACGUAACGACACGAGUACGUCGUACGUCGGUACGUAACGUACGGUACGUACGUACUAGUAGUACUACGUACGUAACGGUCUACNNNNNNNNNNNNNNNNNNNNUCGUCCGUCGUCGUCCCGUCCGUAGUCGAUGGCGUCGUCACGGAGUACCUACGUCUUCCUAAACUAGGAGUGGUAGGAAAGUAGUACGAUUGUACGUCUCUCUCUCUCUCUCUCUCAUCAAAUUUAGUCAAACUACUCUCUCUCUCUCUCUCUCUACCCUCAGUGCCUAUGGAAGAAAGCACAGAGGCGUUCCUGGUUCGAAAACUGGAG
rnacentral:lncRNA from 1 species